rnacentral:sRNA from 1 species
AGGUGCGAUCAUACCAGCACUAAUGCACCGGAUCCCAUCAGAACUCCGCAGGUAAGCGUGCUUGGGCGAGAGUAGUACUAGGAUGGGUGACCUCCUGUGAAGUGCUCGUGUUGCACCUCUUUUUUUCACGGGAGGUAGCAUUAACGGACUCG